GACCAGAUUAGAUGGAGAGGAGGGAUGAGGUAGCGGUGGCGGUUUAAAGAGGAGGAGGAGGAUUUAUUGGAAGAAGAGGAGGUAGUGGGAGUGGAUUGGGCUCAAGAUAGAACUAGGUUAGAGAGGAAUGGAAAGGAGGGAUGAGAUGAUGAUGGGGUUUAGAGAGAUUGAGGAGGAGGUAGUGGUGGGAAUUUAAAAAAAUGAGAAGAGAAAGAGAGCAUUUUUUUGAUAAUAAGCCAUUCUAGUAAGAAAAAAAUUGUUCGAAUAGUGUUGGAUGUUGCAUGUGUCAUAGGAUCAUAUUGAUCCACUCAACUAAUUUUAAAGAUUAUUUUAGAAUUUUUAAACUUGAGAGGUACUAAAGAAAACUGAUCCUAAGUUGAGAAGUUGUCUAAAUAAUUUUUUCAGUCAUUUAAUUUUGAAAAAAUUACACUGACACCUCCUCAACUUUAGGCCAAUCUCAAAAAUACCCGCUCAACUUUAAAAAGUUUCAAAUAUAUCCCUAAAGUUUGCAAACUGUUUCAAACUGGUCUUGCCAUUCAUCUAUAUUAAUAUAACUACCACAUAGUAGCAUAUAAUAUAAUGACUAAAGUAUCCUUCGUAUCAUAAAAGGAUCCACUAUUUGAUCAGACAUUGCAUAGUGGUGUUAGGAAUCACAUUCCUUUGUGCAAAUCCACUAUGGAAUCAUCCAUCGCACAGAUCUCAAAAGUGCUCCAAAUUUCUUUAUUCAUACAUAUGCACAAAUCUCAAAGUGCACAGUGCAUGACUUAGAUCAUCCAUUUACUUGCACAGAUCUCAAAGUGACUAGUGGAUGAUCUAGAAUAUUCAUCAAUUCGCACAAAUCUCAAAGCAACCAAUGGAUGAUUCAGAAUAUUCAUCCUUCUACAUAGAUCUCAAAGUGAGCAGCGGAUGAUUAGGAUUAUUCAGUCGCUUGCACAGAUCUCAAAGCCUAAAUUAUUCAUUCAUCCGCACAAAUCCCAAAGUUGGGUGGAUGACCUAGAUUUGUGUGAACAGGGAGAUGGGGGAGGUCCUCCUCCACCCGAAUCGCCGUUGGAGCUGCCCCCUCGCUUGAUGGAAGGUUCUAGCUGUUCGAGAUCACAACAUGUCAACAAAGGCUGGUUGGGGGCGGGGGAGGUGCUGUGGAUGGUUCAAGCCUGAGAGAUCAGGAUUUGGUGGGUAAGAAUGGAUUAAGGCAGCGAGAAGUCGAAAUUAGACCGCACUGGAGAUCAUUGAUGUAGAAUUCGAAGCUGAAGAUUAAGAGAUUACAGAAAAUUGGAGGAAAAUUAGGGUUUGGGCAAGUGGGGAGCCUUGGUCUUUGGGAAGAAGAGAGGGAUUCACCAUAAAUGGGGAAGUGGUGCGUCGAUGCUAUUAGUGCUGCCGCGAGAGGCUCACCAGUGCAAUCAUGUGUUCUCUCCACCGAUUGUUGGCAAUGUGGAGAAAGAGGUGAUUCGAGAGGAAAAAGGGGAUGAUGCUUGCACAGAUGUCAAAGCAACCACUAAUGAUCGAGAUAUUCAUCUCAAAGAAACCAUGGAUGAUCCAGAUAUUCAUUCGUCUGCACAGAUUUCAAAACAACCAGAUCCAAAUAUUCAUUCACAUGCAUAGAUGUUAAACUGAUUAGUGGACAAUUAGGAUUACUCAUCCAUUACAUAAACUCAAAGCAAUCUAGAUAUUCAUCUGCAUGC
rnacentral:lncRNA from 1 species